UGGGGAAUUUUGGACGAAUUGGGCGAAAGCCUGAUCCAGCAAUGCCGCGUGUGUGAAGAAGGCCUUCGGGUUGUAAAGCACUUUUGUCCGGAAAGAAAUCCUUGGCUCUAAUACAGUCGGGGGAUGACGGUACCGGAAGAAUAAGCACCGGCUAACUACGUGCCAGCAGCCGCGGUAAUACGUAGGGUGCAAGCGUUAAUCGGAAUUACUGGGCGUAAAGCGUGCGCAGGCGGUUUGCUAAGACCGAUGUGAAAUCCCCGGCGUCAACCUGGGAACUGCAUUGGUGACUGGCAGGCUAGAGUAUGGCAGAGGGGGGUAGAAUUCCACGUGUAGCAGUGAAAUGCGUAGAGAUGUGGAGGAAUACCGAUGGCGAAGGCAGCCCCCUGGGCAAGUACUGACGCUCAUGCACG
rnacentral:rRNA from 1 species